CGUGCGAUAUUCGGUAUUUGACUGUUGUAAAAAGGCAAGAAACGCUGAGACAAAGUGUUUACUAGACAGCCAUUUUUAUUAAAAAGAAAAAGAAAAUGGCAAUAGAGAAGAUUACGUUAUCGGGUAGUAUGCAUGCCCGGGUGUUAAUUAUUCCUUUGAAAUUUUGAAUUUUUAAGGUUUUAACGAAGUGAUGAUGUUUUUCUUGUUUAAUUUUCACAUCAAUAUCAGCAGUAACGUUAAGAAAAAAGUUUGAUUCAUUUUCAAGGUUGUUUAAUUGCUUUCAAGAAAGUCACUGUAGUUUCCCCUCUAAAAUAGGUGAGAAAUUUUCAUCAAAUUCGAUUCAUCACUUCCUGCACCUCUCGGAACUGUAGAUACCUUUUCAAAAUUUAUUGCUCACGAUUUGCUUUGCGGUAUCUAUGAACAGAUAAAUGGCGCAAACCCCGACGUGGUAUAACGAACCGCAAAUUUUUGAGUCCUCGAAUUCAUUUACGAAUUAGAAAUGUUAACACAAAGACCACACUUGUGUUCGUCAAAUCAAUUUUCCGUGGUAUUGCGACACAAUUAGCCAGUGCUAUGAAUAGAGCGAGAAAGGUGGAAAAAUUGACAAACGCGUCUCACGCAUCAAUUGCUCGUCAAAAUCUCUCUAAAAAAUUUUAAAAAGAGUAUUAAAAUAUAUUGAAACGUUGUGAAAAAUUUAUUUUAUAGCUAAUACUCAAAUAUCACGAUUUUACCGCUUCUACCAUCUGACUGGUAAUUGAUAAGUACGUAUACAAACACAUUCCACGUGUCUAUUCAGCAAUUAUUUAAGGUACAGUAAAGAUGCAAAAUAUCGUACGUACUGCAUCGCUAUAAGUUUUAACAAGGACUAUUACAUCACAAAAGACAUUAAUGGUAAGCUAAGUGUCUAUGUUUAUACGAUUUACCGAACUAGAAG